CCUACGAGGGGCAGCAGUGGGGAAUAUUGGACAAUGGGGGGAACCCUGAUCCAGCCAUGCCGCGUGUGUGAAGAAGGCCCUCGGGUUGUAAAGCACUUUCAGUGAGGAAGAACGCCUGGUGGUUAAUACCCAUCAGGAAAGACAUCACUCACAGAAGAAGCACCGGCUAACUCCGUGCCAGCAGCCGCGGUAAUACGGAGGGUGCGAGCGUUAAUCGGAAUUACUGGGCGUAAAGCGCGCGUAGGUGGCUUGAUAAGCCGGUUGUGAAAGCCCCGGGCUCAACCUGGGAACGGCAUCCGGAACUGUCAAGCUAGAGUGCAGGAGAGGAAGGUAGAAUUCCCGGUGUAGCGGUGAAAUGCGUAGAGAUCGGGAGGAAUACCAGUGGCGAAGGCGGCCUUCUGGACUGACACUGACACUGAGGUGCGAAAGCGUGGGUAGCAAACAGGAUUAGAUACCCUGGUAGUC
rnacentral:rRNA from 1 species